CUAGUAAAAUCUAAAGUUUAACAAUUUACUUUAUUAGUCAGUGCAUUAAUGUAACCGGGUCAUAUUUAGAAGUUGUUUCUGUUUUUUAGUUCUAAUGGGACAUGUCUCCUUUAAAUGCCAGAAAUCUAAGACAACAUAUAUAGGUAGUUUCUUGAUUGGUGUCGUAUUGAAUCCUGGGUAAGUGGACAGGAGAGAGCGUGGUGCAUCAAAGAAGGUGGCUGACUUGAGGGAAAGUUGGUGGUUUUUUACAUAAUAUUACGUGUAAGUGGGACAUCUGUCUUGAAAUACUGUAAUAGUAAUGUAAUAGUGUAUAUAUGAGUUUGUUUUGGAAAGAAUGUUUAAUGUAGACUGAAUAGGUUCUGGCCUUGUGAAAUUUGCCAAGUCGCUCUGUCAUACGUGGGUGUCGCUAAUUAAGGUGUACAUUGGUAAAUUGAAAUCCCAUUUUUUGUUUAUGGAAUGAAUAAUGUGAGGUGAUGUAGUUAUUGGAGAAGUUCAUGUGUUUGGCUAGGAAAUUAAGUUUUAUACGGACUGUAUUAAAGUGAAAUGUGUCAUGUUUCACCUAGCAGAUUAGCCAUACUGGUAUCAGCACACGUGUUGAGGAUCGGAAUGUGUGCGUGUUAACAGCAUUAUCACCACUACCGUUUUGUACUGCUAAAACUUAUUAUUUAUUUUAUUUUCUUACACGGCUAUUUGGGCUACAGUUUUGGAUAGGCUUAGCGCUAGCAUGUGUACCUGUUAAAAAUAUAUCAGAUAAAGAAUCCUGCUCUUUA